GGAUAUAGCUCAGUGGUAGAGUGUGUGCUUAGCAAGCCCAAGGUCCUGGGUUCAAUCCCCAGUCCAUCCA
rnacentral:tRNA from 1 species